UACGGAUGAUCCGAGCGUUAUCCGGAAUUAUUGGGUUUAAAGGGUGCGUAGGCGGCCAUUUAAGUCAGCGGUGAAAUUUUGCAGCUUAACUGUAACAGUGCCGUUGAUACUGUUUGGCUAGGAUUUGGUUGUAGUGUGCGGAAUGUGUGGUGUAGCGGUGAAAUGCUUAGAUAUCACACAGAACACCGAUUGCGAAGGCAGCACACCAAGUCAUUAUUGACGCUGAGGCACGAAAGUGUGGGGAUCAAACAGGAUUA
rnacentral:rRNA from 1 species